CCGCCCGUCACACCAUGGGAGUGGGCUGCAAAAGAAGUAGGUAGUUUAACCUUCGGGGGGACGCUUACCACUUUGUGGUUCAUGACUGGGGUGAAGUCGUAACAAGGUAGCCCUAGGGGAACCUGGGGCUGGAUCACCUCCUUA
rnacentral:rRNA from 1 species